CUACGGGCGGCUGCAGUGGGGAAUAUUGGACAAUGGGCGCAAGCCUGAUCCAGCAAUACCGCGUGUGUGAAGAAGGCCUGCGGGUUGUAAAGCACUUUCAAUUGUGAAGAAAAGCCUGGGGUUAAUACCCUCGGGUCUUGACGUUAACUUUAGAAGAAGCACCGGCUAACUCCGUGCCAGCAGCCGCGGUAAUACGGAGGGUGCGAGCGUUAAUCGGAAUUACUGGGCGUAAAGCGUGCGUAGGCGGCUAGGUCAGUCAGAUGUGAAAGCCCCGGGCUUAACCUGGGAACUGCAGUUGAUACUGCCUGGCUAGAGUAUGGUAGAGGGAAGUGGAAUUCCGGGUGUAGCGGUGAAAUGCGUAGAUAUCCGGAGGAACACCAGUGGCGAAGGCGACUUCCUGGACCAAUACUGACGCUGAGGUACGAAAGCGUGGGUAGCAAACAGGAUUAGAUACCCGGGUAGUC
rnacentral:rRNA from 1 species